rnacentral:rRNA from 1 species
UACAGAGGGGGCAAGCGUUGUUCGGAAUUACUGGGCGUAAAGGGCGCGUAGGCGGCCUUCUAAGUCGAACGUGAAAUCCCUGGGCUCAACCCAGGAACUGCGUCCGAUACUGGAAGGCUUGAAUCCGGGAGAGGGAUGCGGAAUUCCAGGUGUAGCGGUGAAAUGCGUAGAUAUCUGGAGGAACACCGGUGGCGAAGGCGGCAUCCUGGACCGACACUGACACUGAGGAGCGAAAGCCAGGGGAGCAAACGGG